UCGGCGGGUGUGGACGUCUUGCUCUCGCCUGAGUAUCAGUGACAAAUAUACUCCGCUCUGUCUGGGACGCUUGUCCUCGUCUAUUUUGCCCGCCGGGCAAUUUACAGGAGGAACACCUGGUCAUCGGCUCACUUUUAACCAGGUCCAUUUUUACCGCUCUUAGGAUAACUCUUUAACGGUCUUCGGUGGGAAGCCGGUUACUGAAUUCAGGUGGCGGUCCCGCUCUGCUGGGACUUGGCAUGUGAUUUCCACCGGAUUUAAUUGGAGCCUUCAAGUUUCUAUUUCUAUUUACAAAGGAACUUUUGUUCCUGUCAUGGCACAGCUUUGAGCAACUAAUUUUAUCUUAACAUCGGGAAGUCGGGUUCGAUACUGAGUAAGCUGUCAGUGGCCCUGAUAAACCCAACAAACAAACCGACGUAGUUUGGAAAUAAUAAGUUUAAGAGGCAUGAAUCAGUCCUGUGCAUGUGGCAUCUUGAAGUAAGAGAGAGGUCCUUGAAGUCUAGAAUGCUUGGGUAGAAUUAGGAGAUUUCUAGUUAGCACAGACUCCACAGCCAAGUGUCAAGGGCAUCCUUCAUGGCCUCUGGCAGGUGCUGCAGGCUGUAAGGAAUGAUGAGAGAGUCUGCAAAGUACUUGAGCAGGAGGGAUGCUAUCCUACCACAUCCUUGGUGGAUCCUGAAUCCUGGGUCAACAUUCUUAUCCACCAUGUAAAAGGUCUCGUAGCCCGUGUGGUAGGAAGGGUAUAUGGAGAUAUCAUUCUUAUUCUGUUACAGAGAGAGAGGAGGGGGAGUACUUCAUAUAACUGUAUGUUUGGCGCUAUGAUCCAUUCAGGUUAGCGAUAUCAUGUGUAUAAAAUAAUAAAAAUAACUAGGCCAAGGUAUAUAUGGAAAUAGCACAUACAGUAAAUACAAUCACAUCACAAAGUAGGAAAUGGGGUUACCUUAUCUCUCCUAAACCACAUGUCCACACACGGGAUGCCACAGUAGAAAGAAAAUGGGGCAUAGUCGCUUCCUGAACCCAAUGUCUUCAUCCUUAGAGGAAAAAAAAAUUAGUCAGCAGCUUCCCUAAUGAAUCACAUUUAUUUUAUCACAAUGCCUUGCUACCAUCCACUAACCAGGCAUAUUUUAUCCAAAUAAUAAUAAUACUUAUAAUAAUAGCAUACUAACAUAUAGCAAUUAACAUUUACUGUAUCUCAAUGCAAUACUAUCAUCUACCAAUCAAGUUCUUGUACAUUAAUGGUAAACUUUUUUAUGUUUACUGCUAACACUGUGUUUACACGUCUUCCUCUUCCUCUAUUCUAUCCUGUCUCCUGAUUUCGGUGCAGCAUUCCCCCAGUGAAAAGCAGGGGUGCCAUGAGUACACUAACAGACAAGUGUCAAGGGCCCAAGACUAUUCAACUGCCUCCCAGCAUACACAAGAGGAAUCACCAACAGACCCCUGGCUGUCUUCAGAAGGGAGCUGAACAGGCACCUAAAAUUAGUACUUGACCAGCCCAGCUGUGGUUCGCAUGUCAGUUUGUGUGCGUCCAGCAGUAACAGCCUGGUUGAUCAGACCCUGAUCCACCGUGAGGCCUGAUCAAGGACAGGGCCACAGGGGCAAUGAGUCCCCAGAACACCCUCCAGGUAAACCUUAAUUUCACAUUUCUCUCGCUUCUCCCUCUAUCCCAUUCUUUUUACUUCUUUUUUUCUCCCCUCUUUUUCUCUUUCUCUAUUUCUCUCUCUGCCUCUCUUGAUUGCAAAUUUUUCUCCCUAUAAAUUUCACUGUUUUCCCUCUUUUUUUUCCCCUUUCUCACUAUCUUAGUAUUUUCCUCAUUUAUGUUCUUAAUCUUUUUUUUUCACGCUUCCCCCUCAUUCACUUUCACCUUUUCCUACAUCUUAACUUACUUAAGUGUAGUCACAUUCUGGGAAAUUUGAUAGGCUUUCCACUCAUCAUAUACCGUGGCACCAUCUCGAACACCAGGCACCUGCAAGAAUGCCACCAUGAAAUUAGAAUCAUUAUGGCACUGAAACAUAGAAGAAGGCCAGACUUAAACCACAGGUGCAUUGUUACAGUGUCACAGAAAAGCCAAGGGUGAACCAGAGCUGUGGAAUUAUGUCUAGCCAGAGGAGCCAAAUUGGGUUAAAAAAAAUUGCCAUAAUGAUAACAACAGGCCAAGGCUAGAAAAACGGUAGUAGUAUCAUACUGUCAGCAUACAUGAGGGCCCCACUUAUACAGCAGGUUAGGUUCAGGCAGGGCCUCCAAGAGAAAUUUUGCAAGGCAGAACAAGACUAUUUUGGGUCCCCUGGGGGCAGGCUGAGGCCCCCAGUCUAAGUGAAUUUUCCAUAAUUAUUUUUCUGAAGCUAAAAAUAAUUGAAAUUACCAAAAAAUAUCAAAUGGAAAAACUCAAAAUAAAACGUCUAUGGCUAUGGAGCCCCUUCAGAGAUUCACAGCCAGGCCCCAGAUCAAUGUACCAGUUGAACCCCCUCUCACAGGCCCUGGGUUCCAGCAGUGGCGUAGCUAGAGGGAAAGCAAGGGAAGCGACUGGUCCCCUUUGAGCACAUUUUUCAAAAGAUGCGCCUUUUCAACAAUUUUUUUUUCUCUUUAGUUCACAUGUGUGAUAAAAGUUAAAUCUCAUUUUUUAGCAUACACGUACUCAGACAUCAUCGACAGUUAAACUGAAAUCAUAUAAGAGUUUCUUUCAUUCAACGACUUAUACGUACAAAGAGAUAAUGAGCACUAGGAGUGUGGCAAAUUCAGAUGUAGAGAAAAUGACCAUCAACAACAUACUUAAACUCACGAUCACCAAUGAUGUGUGUUCCACUUAUCCUAACUUGUCCAUAUUGCACCACAUUUUUAUGACCUUACGAACAACUAGUGCUGUUGUGGAACAAUCCUUUAAUUGGCUCAAACACAAAGUUCUACCUUUGUUCUACAAUGGACAAGGAUAGAUUGUCUGGGUUAGCUUUGCUCUCCACUGAGAGUUGGCUACUGAGGUGUAUUAUAAGUGUAAUAGAUAACUUUGCUAGAAUGAAACCUAGAUGAAAGAGACAGCUGUAGGUGCUUCAUACAUUUCUCACAUUGCUUUGUUUUGUGUUCAUUUUGCAUUUAAAAUUAAAAUAAUUAAAAAACACAAGUUUUUGUUAUAUUUUGUGAUUUACGAGCUUACUGUAAAACUUUUUUAUUGUGUUUUGAUUUUAAAUACAAAAGAACAAUUAUGUACUACAUUUAAAACUGCAUCUUCCCUGUGUUUUGAUUUUAAAAAUAAAAUAAAAAUGCAUAAUGAAUUUAAAAUUAUUUGGUACAUGUCAUGCCAACUUUUUUGUAUGUGCUCACUCCCUCUAACUUUAGUACCUGUUAUGCCCCUGGGUUCAGCUACUGCUUUAAAGUGAAACGUAUCCUUUUUUUUACUUUCAAAUGCAUAUAAAAGCCUGAUAACAUGUUUACACUAUCAUAUAUUAAGUAAGCAAUAUAGCUAGUCUUAAAAAAUGCAUAUACAGUACACACAUUAAUUUCUUUAAAAUAUUUUCAUCCUUAGCUUAUAGUGAGUGGUAAAUAUAUUCAUUGUAGGAAGUCUGAAUAAAUGAAGAAUGGGUGUAAUUGAAAAUCAAUGUAUUAGUGAAACGUUGUAAAGCGAAGUGCUGUAAAGUGGGGUCUUGUAUAUCAACCCUGUCAUGAGCUGGAGUUAACCUCCUCUUCCUUGGAUCACAGCUGAUUAGCUCCCAUUGCCUAGGAGUUCUACGUACCUGUGUGUUUUGUACUUCCUCACAAACACAUUAAUAAUUUAUGUACAAACUGUCACUCAAACAUGAAUAUAAAAAUAUAUAGUAUGAGAAAAUACAAGGACCUUGACCUGUAAAUCGUACAAGUUUGGGAUUCCAAGUGUGAGAGAGAUAUCCAUAGACAGACCUAUAUGGUUAUAAUUAUUUUAAAUUCACAGCAACAUUCUGGCUUUGAGUUAACAGGGUCAACAGUCCUGUUCAAUCUUUUCCUCCUCACUUUACAUUAGAUUCUGUGACACAUUUAUUUUAUUCUAUUUAUUUUAUUUUAUUUAGAAAUUUAGCAUACAAACAGAGGUACAAAAAAUACAGGUAAGAGCAGCAUGCCAAAGCCACUUAUAUGCAUAGCAUUACGGGCUGGCUUAAAAUUAACUUAAGAUUAACUAAGCAAUGAUGGAAUCAGUGAUAAGACAUUAUUGUAAACAGAUAACUAUAAAAUACAAAUGAGUAUUACAAAGACAGGUCCUAUGGUUGCAUGCAUUGCAUGCAUAGAAUGGAGUAUUCUGUUAGGUAGUGUAUUUAAAAAAAUAACAAAGUUAGGUUUAACAUUUGUGUGAUAUAAUGUGAGUAACAUUUAGGAUAUACUAUUUAUAUGGUUCAGUUAUUCAGUAUUUAUUUGGUUUUGAGUGAGUAAGUGAGCUUUGAGAAGAGACUUGAAUUUAUAAACAGGUAGUGUUUCUUUUAUAUUUAAAGGUAAUGAAUUCCAGAUUUUAGGGCCUUUUAUGUGCAUUGAGUUUUUGCAUAGCAUGAGAUGGACACGAGGAACAUCAAAGAGUGAUCUGUGCCUUGUAUUAUGGUCAUGUGUUCUGUUGAGGUUGGCAAGGAGAUGUUUGAGGGGAGGGUUAAUAUCAGAGUUAAGUGUUCUAUGUAUGUAAUAAGUGCAAUAAUAAGUAUGGAUGUUUUGUAUGGUGAGUAGGUUGAGUGUUUUGAAUAUUGGUGGAGUGUGCUGCCUGUAGUGAGAAUUUGUUAUCAUUCUAACUGCAGCCUUUUGUUGGGUAAUUAGUGGUCUGAGAUGGUUAGUUGUUGUUGAGCCCCAUGCACAAAUUCCAUAGGUGAGAUAGGGGUAAAUAAGAGAGUGAUAAAGGGCCAGGAGGGCUGACUGUGGAACACAGUACCGUAUCUUCGAUAGUAUGCCUACAGUCUUGGAAAUUUUCUUAGAAAUUUGUUGUAUAUGUGUAUGAAAUUUGAGUCUAUUAUCGAGGUGGAUUCCUAAGAAUUUUCCCUCUGUUAGCUUUGUGAUAGGUGAUCCGUUUAUCGUUAUGUUAAGAGGUACAUCUGUAGCUCUGCUACCAAACUGAAUGAAGUAGGUUUUGUCAAUGUUUAGAGUAAGUUUGUUAGUCCUCAUCCAGGUAUCAUAAAGCCUCCUUUCGUAUACACUAUGUUCAUUCUUGUAAAAUGCUAGCAUGCAAAAUUAAUAAAUUAUAAGACCUUCAAAGAUUUCUAAAACAAACAAAAGACAAGCACACUACACAAACACAUACUCUACCUAUAAACUAAGGAAAAAUAGCUACUAUAAGAAUAAUAAGAAUACAGUGGACCCCCGGUUAACGAACUUUUUUCAUUCCAGUAGUAUGUUCAGGUGCCAGUACUGACCGAAUUUUUUCCCAUAAGGAAUAUUGUGAAGUAGAUUAGUCCAUUUCAGACCCCCAAACAUACACGUACAAACGCACUUACAUAAAUACACUUACAUAAUUGGUCGCAUUUGGAGGUGAUCGUUAAGCGGGGGUCCACUGUAUUCUUUGAAAAGUGGUAGAAUAAUGGAAUAAUUUAAGAGGAAUAAGUAAGUUCUACAACAACUGGAAACUUUAAAAAACAACAUAUACAGUGGAACACCAGUUUUCAUCCUUAAUCCGUUACAGAAGGUCAGUCGAAAUCCGAAAUGGAUGAAAAUCGAAGUAAUAUUUCCAUAAGAAAUAAUGUAAAUCCAAUUAAUCCAUUCGAGUGUGAAGCUUGGGUUGCAAAUGCUGCAACGAGGAAGUGGCUGGAGGCAGUGGAGAUGUCCUGUCUAAGGGCAAUGUGCAGUGUAAAUAUUAUGCAGAGAAUUCGGAGUGUGGAAAUUAAGAGGAGGUGUGGAGUUCCUAAAAGUAUUAGUCACAGGGCUGAAGAGGGGUUGUUGAGGUGGUUUGGUCAUUUAGAGAGAAUGGAUCAAUAGGGGAAGGAAGGCAGGGUAGAGGUUGUCCUCGAAAAGAUGGCAGGGAGGGGGUAAAGGAGGUUUUGUGGGCGAGGGGCAUGGACUUCCAGCAAGCAUGUGUGAGCAUGUUAGAUAGGAGUGAAUUGAGACGAAUGGUUUUUGGGACCUGACGAGCUGUUGGAGUAUGAGUAAGGUAAUGUUUAGUGAAGGGAUUCAGGGAAACUGGUUAUUUUUAUAUAACCGGACUUGAGUACUGGAAAUGGGAAAUACAAUGCCUGCACUUAUAAGGAGGGGGUUUGGGAUAUUGGCAGUCUGGAGGGGUAUGUUAUAUAUCUUUAUAUAUAUGCUUCUAAACUGUUGUAUCUGGGUGUCUCUGCAAAGACAGUGAUUAUGUGUGAAUGAGGCAGGGUGACCUAAAGAGCAAAAAACUAAAGUUUCUUUUUAAAUUUAGUAAUUUACACAGGAGAAGGGGAUACUAGCCCCUUGCUUUUGGCAUUUUAUGGAGGAAGAAUUCUGUUCCACUUUCCCAUGGAGAGAGAGUCCUUGUCAGACAUAAAUAUACGCCAAUAAGACAUAGAUAUGAUAAAGUUAUAACACGCACACACAGGCUGGCAGGAACACAAACAGGUAGGUUGGCAAAAUGAUGGAUGAAGAACAGAGAGGAGAGUAAUAGGCAGG